rnacentral:rRNA from 1 species
AUUGAACGCUGGCGGCAGGCCUAACACAUGCAAGUCGAACGGUAGCACAGAAGAGCUUGCUCUUCGGGUGACGAGUGGCGGACGGGUGAGUAAUGUCUGGGAAACUGCCUGAUGGAGGGGGAUAACUACUGGAAACGGUAGCUAAUACCGCAUAAUGUCGCAAGACCAAAGAGGGGGACCUUCGGGCCUCUUGCCAUCAGAUGUGCCCAGAUGGGAUUAGCUAGUAGGUGGGGUAAUGGCUCACCUAGGCGACGAUCCCUAGCUGGUCUGAGAGGAUGACCAGCCACACUGGAACUGAGACACGGUCCAGACUCCUACGGGUGG